UACGAAGGGGGCUAGCGUUGCUCGGAAUUACUGGGCGUAAAGCGCACGUAGGCGGAUUGUUGAGUCGGGGGUGAAAUCCUGGAGCUCAACUCCAGAACUGCCUUCGAUACUGGCGAUCUCGAGUUCGGGAGAGGUGAGUGGAACUGCGAGUGUAGAGGUGAAAUUCGUAGAUAUUCGCAAGAACACCAGUGGCGAAGGCGGCUCACUGGCCCGAUACUGACGCUGAGGUGCGAAAGCGUGGGGAGCAAACAGG
rnacentral:rRNA from 1 species